ensembl:lncRNA novel transcript, antisense to TBC1D16
UGUCAGAAGAGCGGGAGGAAAGAGCUCCGGCGGACAGGGCUCCCAGGCCCCUCCAGGACGAGGUUGGAGGACCAAGCGCAGAAGCAGGAACAGAGGUACAGAGAAUGGCGUCCAGGCCUCCUUAAGGACUCUCAAUCCAUGAGACAGGAAGCCCCACAGGGAAGCAGUGGCCCCCCGCCCCCUAUCUCCUCACAUACAGCACUCUGUACCUUCUGCUCAUUUUUCUGUAAACCUAAAACUGCUCUAAACAAUGAAGUCCGCCACGCAGAAACUGCACACGGAUGUUGAGAGCAGCUUUACUCAUAACUGCCAACACUCAGAAGCAACCGAGAUGUUCUCCAACAGCUGAAUAAAUAAAUAAACUGUGAUACACCUAAAUAA